rnacentral:tRNA from 1 species
AGGGUAAUGGCUCAGUGGUAGAGUGUGUGCUUAGCAUGCACAAGGUUCUAGCUUCAAUCCCCAGUACCUCCA